ACGCUCGACACCUACGGGAGGCAGCAGUGAGGAAUAUUGGUCAAUGGGCGCUAGCCUGAACCAGCCAAGUAGCGUGAAGGAUGAAGGCUCUAUGGGUCGUAAACUUCUUUUAUAUAAGAAUAAAGUGCAGUAUGUAUACUGUUUUGUAUGUAUUAUAUGAAUAAGGAUCGGCUAACUCCGUGCUAGCAGCCGCGGUAAUCUGAGCGGGCUGGCAAGGC
rnacentral:rRNA from 1 species